rnacentral:lncRNA from 1 species
AUCUGAAGAUGCAGGUGCGUGAACCGCGUCACUCCCUUCAUUAGAGACAGCUUGAUCUGAAGACACAGGUGCGUGAACCGCGUCACUCCCUUCAUUAGAGACAGCUUGAUCUGAAGAUGCAGGUGCGUGAACCGCGUCACUCCCUUCAUUAGAGACAGCUUGAUCCCAAGAUACAGGUGUGUUCCCUACAUCUACACUUGUAGCAGCAGCCUUAGGAACAUUUCCCCCCUCUUCUUGGCUACCAGCAUCAACAUCCAUGCUACAAUUGGUAUUGUCCUGGUCAUCUAAUUUGGAUGAAUCAACCUUGUCAAUGGCGCCCUCGUUCAUGGUAACGCUGUCCCCACUAUGAGCAUUAGAAGUAGUCUGUCCAACUGAAGCCCCAUCGUUAUCCACUAGAGUGUCAGGCAAUGKAGGAAUAGGACCUACAAGGUCUCCAUCUACAUCUGCAUUGUCCAUGUCCAUCUGAUCCCCCUUGAUUUCUUUGCUUCCUGCAGCUUCUUCAUCAGUAACCAUAUUCGUCUGUCCUGAUUCCUCUUCAAUGUCAUGAUUCUUCCUCUCAUUUUUCUUCCUCAGCAGCACGUAUUUUGAGCUGCAGUCUUCCUCCUC